rnacentral:rRNA from 1 species
GCCUACGGCCAUACCACCCUGAAAGCGCCCGAUCUCGUCUGAUCUCGGAAGCUAAGCAGGGACGGGCUUGGUUAGUACCUGGAUGGGAGACCGCCUGGGAAUGCCAGGUGUUGUAGGCU